AAAUGCGAUAAGUAAUGUGAAUUGCAGAAUUCAGUGAAUCAUCGAAUCUUUGAACGCACCUUGCGCUCCUUGGUAUUCCUUGGAGCAUGCCAGUUUGAGUAUCAUGAAAUCUUCAAAGUAAAUCUUUUGUUAACUCAAUUGGUUUCUACUUUGGUAUUGGAGGUCUUUGCAGCUUCACACCUGCUCCUCUUUGUUCAUUAGCUGGAUCUCAGUGUUAUGCUUGGUUCCACUCGGCGUGAUAAGUUAUCUAUCGCUGAGGACACUGUAAAAGGUGGCCAAGGUAAAUGCAGAUGAACCGCUUCUAAUAGUCCAUUGACUUGGACAAUACUUUUAUGAUCUGAUCUCAAAUCAGGUAGGACUACCCGCUGAACUUAAGC
rnacentral:misc_RNA from 1 species